UACGAAGGUCCCAAGCGUUGUUCGGAAUCACUGGGCGUAAAGGGCGCGUAGGCGGCGUGGUAAGUCAGAUGUGAAAUCCCGGGGCUCAACCCCGGAACUGCAUCCGAUACUGCCAUGCUUGAGGGUUGGAGAGGUAGCUGGAAUUAUCGGUGUAGCAGUGAAAUGCGUGGAUAUCGAUAGGAACACUCGUGGCGAAGGCGAGCUACUGGACAACAUCUGACGCUGAGGCUCGAAGGCUAGGGGAGCAAAAGGG
rnacentral:rRNA from 1 species